UACAGAGGUCUCAAGCGUUGUUCGGAUUCAUUGGGCGUAAAGGGUGCGUAGGUGGUUGCGCAAGUCUGAUGUGAAAUCUCCGGGCUCAACCCGGAAAUGGCAUUGGAAACUGCGUGGCUAGAGGGUUGGAGGGGGGACUGGAAUACUUGGUGUAGCAGUGAAAUGCGUAGAUAUCAAGUGGAACACCAGUGGCGAAGGCGAGUCCCUGGACAACACCUGACACUGAGGCACGAAAGCUAGGGGAGCAAACAGG
rnacentral:rRNA from 1 species